UGGUUCUGGCAUCGAUGAAGAACGCAGCGAAAUGCGAUACGUAGUGUGAAUUGCAGAAUUCCGUGAAUCAUCGGAUUUUUGAACGCAUAUUGCGCCUGUUGGUAUUCCGACAGGCAUGCCUGUUCGAGCGUCAUUUGCAUGUCAAGCGCAGCUUGGUGUUGGGCGGGCGCGACAGCGCGGCCUGAAAAGCGAGAGCAGUCUGGCGGCACGCAGCAAGCACAGCACAUGUGCGUAGCGGCGGCGGUGGCUGGACGGUGAAAGGACGAUUGACCUCGGAUCAGGCAAGGGUACCCGCUGA
rnacentral:misc_RNA from 1 species